rnacentral:rRNA from 1 species
GACGUAGGGCGCGAGCGUUGUCCGGAUUGAUUGGGCGUAAAGAGCUCGUAGGCGGCUCGUUGCGUCGGCUGUGAAAACCCGCAGCUCAACUGUGGGCCUGCAGCCGAUACGGGCGGGCUGGAGUUCGGUAGGGGAGACUGGAAUUCCUGGUGUAGCGGUGAAAUGCGCAGAUAUCUGGAGGAACACCGGUGGCGAAGGCGGCAUCCUGGACCGACACUGACGCUGAGGAGCGAAAGCCAGGGGAGCAAACGGG